CCUACGGGGGGCAGCAGUGGGGAAUAUUGGACAAUGGGGGGAACCCUGAUCCAGCCAUGCCGCGUGUGUGAAGAAGGCCCUCGGGUUGUAAAGCACUUUCAGUGAGGAAGAACGCCUGGUGGUUAAUACCCAUCAGGAAAGACAUCACUCACAGAAGAAGCACCGGCUAACUCCGUGCCAGCAGCCGCGGUAAUACGGAGGGUGCGAGCGUUAAUCGGAAUUACUGGGCGUAAAGCGCGCGUAGGUGGCUUGAUAAGCCGGUUGUGAAAGCCCCGGGCUCAACCUGGGAACGGCAUCCGGAACUGUCAAGCUAGAGUGCAGGAGAGGAAGGUAGAAUUCCCGGUGUAGCGGUGAAAUGCGUAGAGAUCGGGAGGAAUACCAGUGGCGAAGGCGGCCUUCUGGACUGUCACUGACACUGAGGUGCGAAAGCGUGGGUAGCAAACAGGAUUAGAUACCCUUGUAGUC
rnacentral:rRNA from 1 species